rnacentral:tRNA from 1 species
UCCGAAUUGGUGUAGUGGCUAACAUUUGACGCUCUCAUGAUUCAAACCAUCGUAGGAACCGUCAAGCCCGGGGUUCGAUUCCCCGAUUCGGAG